GGUUGUUUGGCCGAGCGGUCUAAGGCGCCUGAUUCAAGAAAAUUAAAUAUCUUGACUGUGGAACACCACAGGAAUACUCAGGUAUCGUAAGAUGCAAGAGUUCGAAUCUCUUAGCAACCA
rnacentral:tRNA from 1 species